GUGGGGAAUAUUGCACAAUGGGGGAAACCCUGAUGCAGCGACGCCGCGUGAGUGAAGAAGUAUUUCGGUAUGUAAAGCUCUAUCAGCAGGGAAGAUGAUGACGGUACCUGAGUAAGAAGCCCCGGCUAACUACGUGCCAGCAGCCGCGGUAAUACGUAGGGGGCAAGCGUUAUCCGGAUUUACUGGGUGUAAAGGGAGCGUAGACGGCAUGGCAAGUCUGAAGUGAAAGCCCGGGGCUCAACCGCGGGACUGCUUUGGAAACUGUUAAGCUGGAGUGCAGGAGAGGUAAGUGGAAUUCCUAGUGUAGCGGUGAAAUGCGUAGAUAUUAGGAGGAACACCAGUGGCGAAGGCGGCUUACUGGACUGUAACUGACGUUGAGGCUCGAAAGCGUGGGGAGCAAACAGG
rnacentral:rRNA from 1 species